AUUUAGCGGUACUUGGGGUUUUCUGCAACCAUCCAAAAUUUCAUCGGACAUCAAAGUGAAUUAGGUGCUGUUGAAGAUGGAACUGCCAUGAAGAGGAAUUAAUUAACUUGCGGUAUGCCCUUGAAAUCGAACAGCGUCUAAGGGUGUAAACUGAAAGAAGUUAUUCAAUCAUUAUUUACUCAACAAAACAAGAUAAGAUGGCGAGUGGCUUCCCGUGUGCCCUUCGACAUCGUCAGUACGCUUUCGAAUUUGACAUGUUCAGGAAUGCUAGUAACAUGCAUACAUAACAGCAUGUUAAUACCAGAGCAUCCUGGUGAGUUUGUGCGAAACAGCUACACUUCGAGCUUGACAUACGUAUUGAUUAUGCCUGGGAUACUGCUGGUAAACUAAAUGUUAAACCAUUGUAGCAGCCAUUUAAUCGAGACACCUAGAGGAGGAGUUAUCACCUAUUUUGCCAUGCCAUGGAAAUAUCAGCUGUUCCGUCUCGUCUGACGUCAACCGAGAAAGGCAUCGAGGUUUCGUUCUGUGAAAUUUCUUCGCCGAUUUGUUAUUUGAGGUUUCCAAGCUGUGUCUGGUGUGCUGGCUAGGGGAAUAUGCUGUGAAAGUAUGAAAUGCCAGCAAUAUUAUGGUGUCAAUUUGAAUAUAAAUAUAUAAUAUUUGCAGUGUCAUUCCUGUGUUACAUAUAGUGCCUGCUUUGAAGAAAAGAGAAAAGCUAAAGAUUUAGUUGUUUGAAUGGCUUUGAAAUACUACCAGGAAAGAAGUUUUGUUGUAACAGUAAAGCAUAUAGAGAAGAGAGUCAGAGGAAAAUGCUUUGAAAUGGAACAUGAACAUUCCUAAGUUCUUUUGCUUUUCUUAGUUGGCUUAGUGGAACAGU